ACAGAGGUCCCAAGCGUUGUUCGGAUUCACUGGGCGUAAAGGGUGCGUAGGUGGCGGGAGAAGUUCGAUGUGAAAUCUCCGGGCUCAACCCGGAAACGGCAUUGAAAACUCUCUUGCUAGAGGGUCGGAGGGGAGACUGGAAUUCUCGGUGUAGCAGUGAAAUGCGUAGAUAUCGAGAGGAACACCAGUGGCGAAGGCGAGUCUCUGGACGACUCCUGACACUGAGGCACGAAAGCGUGGGGAUCGAACAG
rnacentral:rRNA from 1 species